rnacentral:rRNA from 1 species
AACUUUCAGCAACGGAUCUCUUGGCUCUCGCAUCGAUGAAGAACGCAGCGAAAUGCGAUAAGUAAUGUGAAUUGCAGAAUUCAGUGAAUCAUCGAAUCUUUGAACGCACCUUGCGCUCCUUGGUAUUCCGAGGAGCAUGYCUGUUUGAGUAUC